GUAGGGUAAUGGCCUACCAAGGCAAAGACGGGUAGGGGGCGUGAGAGCGUGACCCCCCACACUGGCACUGGGACACGGGCCAGACUCCUACGGGAGGCAGCAGUGAGGAAUAUUGCGCAAUGAGCGAAAGCUAGACGCAGCAACGCCGCGUGGGUGAUGAAGGCCUUCGGGUCGUAAAACCCUUUUCUGGGGGAAGAGUAAGGACGGUACCCCAGGAAUAAGCCUCGGCUAACUAUGUGCCAGCAGCCGCGGUAAUACAUAGGAGGCAAGCGUUAUACGGAUUUACUGGGCGUAAAGAGCGUUGAGGCGGCUUCGUAAGUUGGACGUGAAAGCUCCCGGCUUAACUGGGAGAGGCCGUUCAAUACUGCGGGGCUUGAGGACAGCAGAGGGGGGUGGAAUUUCCGGUGUAGUGGUGAAAUGCGUAGAUAUCGGAAGGAACACCAGUGGCGAAGGCGGACCACUGGGCUGCUCCUGACGCUGAAGGCGAAAGCUAGGGUAGCGAACGGGAUUAGAAACCCCGGUAGUCCUAGCCGUAAACGAUGGAUACUAGGUGUAGGAGGUUAAAUUCGUUCUGUGCCGGAGCUAACGCGGUAAGUAUCCCGCCUGGGGAGUACGGUCGCAAGGCUAAAACUCAAAGGAAUUGACGGGGGCCCGCACAAGCAGCGGAGCGUGUGGUUAAAUUCGAUGCAACGCGAAGAACCUUACCAGGGCUUGACAUGUAGGUAGUAGUGAAGCGAAAGCGGAACGAUCCUUCGGGAAGCCUACACAGGUGCUGCAUGGCUGUCGUCAGCUCGUGCCGUGAGGUGUUAGGUUAAGUCCUGUAACGAGCGCAACCCCUGCCGUUAGUUACAAGUGUCUAACGGGACUGCCCGGCAAAACUGGGAGCAAGCUGGGGAUGACGUCAAGUCAGCAUGGCCUUUAUGUCCUGGGCUACACACACGCUACAAUGGCCGGUACAAUGGGUUGCCAAGCCGCGAGGCGGAGCCAAUCCUCUAAAGCCGGUCUCAGUUCGGAUUGUAGGCUGCAACCCGCCUGCAUGAAGUUGGAGUUGCUAGUAACCGCAGGUCAGCCACACUGCGCUGAAUACGUUCCCGGGCAUUGUACACACCGCCCG
rnacentral:rRNA from 1 species